AAGAGGGGCACUGAAUUCAAUUA
rnacentral:piRNA from 1 species